rnacentral:rRNA from 1 species
CAGUAGCCGCGGUAAUACGGAGGGUGCAAGCGUUAAUCGGAAUUACUGGGCGUAAAGCGUGCGUAGGCGGUUCGUUAAGUCUGUUGUGAAAGCCCCGGGCUCAACCUGGGAAUGGCAAUGGAUACUGGCGAGCUAGAGUGUGUCAGAGGAUGGUGGAAUUCCCGGUGUAGCGGUGAAAUGCGUAGAGAUCGGGAGGAACAUCAGUGGCGAAGGCGGCCAUCUGGGACAACACUGACGCUGAGGCACGAAAGCGUGGGGAGCAAACAGGAUUAGAUACCCCGGUAGUCCCUGUCUUUAUACA